GGUUGAUCCUGCCAGUAGUCAUAUGCUCAUC
rnacentral:rRNA from 1 species